rnacentral:rRNA from 1 species
GUUAUCCUACGGGAGGCAGCAGGGAGGAAUAUUGGUCAAUGGGCUUACGCCUGAACCAGCCACGUCGCGUGAGGGAAGACUGCCCUAUGGGUUGUAAACCUCUUUUGUCAGGGAGCAACGCCGGCUACGUGUAGCCGGACUGAGAGUACCUGAAGAAAAAGCAUCGGCUAACUCCGUGCCAGCAGCCGCGUUAAUACGGAGGAUGCGAGCGUUAUCCGGAUUUAUUGGGUUUAAAGGUUGCGUAGGCGGAAUGCCAAGUCAUCGGGCAAAUCGC